rnacentral:rRNA from 1 species
AUACGGAGGGUGCGAGCGUUACUCGGAAUCACUGGGCGUAAAGCGCGCGCAGGCGGCUAUUUAAGUUGGAUGUGAAAGCCUACGGCUCAACCGUAGAACUGCAUCCAAAACUAUUUAGCUAGAGUGUGGGAGAGGAAGAUGGAAUUAGUUGUGUAGGGGUAAAAUCCGUAGAGAUAACUAGGAAUACCAAAAGCGAAGGCAAUCUUCUGGAACACUACUGACGCUGAGGCGCGAAAGCGUGGGGAGCAAACGGGAUUAGAUACCCCAGUAGUCC